rnacentral:rRNA from 1 species
AUACGGAGGGUGCAAACGUUGUUCGGAAUCAUUGGGUUUAAAGGGUCCGCAGGCGGGAAAAUAAGUCAGUGGUGAAAGCCUACAGCUCAACUGUAGAACUGCCAUUGAUACUGUUUUUCUUGAGUAUAGAUGAAGUGGGCGGAAUAUAUCAUGUAGCGGUGAAAUGCAUAGAUAUGAUAUAGAACACCGAUUGCGAAGGCAGCUCACUAAACUAUUACUGACGCUCAGGGACGAAAGCGUGGGGAGCGAACAGGAUUAGAUACCCUAGUAGUCC